CCCUUAGAUGUCCUGGGCCGCACGCGCGUUACACUGAUGCAUUCAACGAGCCUAUAACCUUGGCCGAGAGGCCUGGGCAAUCUUGUUAACGUGCAUCGUGAUAGGGAUAGAUUAUUAAAAUUAUUAAUCUUGAACGAGGAAUUCCUAGUAAACGCAGAUCAUCAAUCUGCAUUGAUUACGUCCCUGCCCUUUGUACACACCGCCCGUCGCACCUACCGAUUGGAUGGUCCGGUGAAGCCUCGGGAUUGUGGUUCUUGCCGCUUUAUUGUGGCGUGACCGCGAGAACUUGUCUAAACCUUAUCAUCUAGAGGAAGGUGAAGUCGUAACA
rnacentral:rRNA from 1 species